GAUGAACGCUGGCGGCGUGCCUAAUACAUGCAAGUCGAGCGAACAGACGAGGAGCUUGCUCCUCUGACGUUAGCGGCGGACGGGUGAGUAACACGUGGAUAACCUACCUAUAAGACUGGGAUAACUUCGGGAAACCGGAGCUAAUACCGGAUAAUAUAUUGAACCGCAUGGUUCAAUAGUGAAAGACGGUUUUGCUGUCACUUAUAGAUGGAUCCGCGCCGCAUUAGCUAGUUGGUGAGGUAACGGCUUACCAAGGCGACGAUGCGUAGCCGACCUGAGAGGGUGAUCGGCCACACUGGAACUGAGACACGGUCCAGACUCCUACGGGAGGCAGCGGUAGGGAAUCUUCCGCAAUGGGCGAAAGCCUGACGGAGCAACGCCGCGUGAGUGAUGAAGGUCUUCGGAUCGUAAAACUCUGUUAUUAGGGAAGAACAAAUGUGUAAGUAACUAUGCACGUCUUGACGGUACCUAAUCAGAAAGCCACGGCUAACUACGUG
rnacentral:rRNA from 1 species